UACUCCCUGAAUGGGUGGAGACUUCUAAAG
rnacentral:piRNA from 1 species